AUUUUGUAGGCAAAGCUGUUGGGUAUCAGUUCUCCACAGGGACCUGAUGAUCUUAGGUCUUUCUCUUCAUCUUGGGAAGAGUAAGGAAGCUGUUCUCGUCCUGCCCUAGUGUGGCUGAUGUGACAUGACCGGCUGCGCCCAGCAUCCUGCUUUCCUUCCCAAGUUGCGUCUUUGUCCACAAAUCCAGCUAGUGCAUCAUUGAAAAGGUUGGUGUUGCUCAAGAUUAUUCCCAGUCCUAACUCAUUAUUGAGGUUUCGGCCUGUUUGGCUGGAAGACACCUGAUUUUUCCAGCUUCUGGUGGUUCCAGGUGUUUCUUGGCUUGUGGCUUCCUCACUCCAACCUGUGCCUCCGUCUUCACAUGGCUUCUCUAGAACUCUGUGUCCACAUCUGCUUCUCUUCUGUCUGUUAUAAAGAUACCUGGCAUUAGAUUUAAAGUCCACCUUGGAAGAACAGGAUGAUCUUGUCUCAAGAUCCCUCACUUAAUUACAUCUGCAAAGGCCCUUUUUCCAAAUAAGGUCACAUUCAUGGGUUCUGGGGCUUAGGACAUGAACAUAUCUUCUUGGAGGCUGUCAUCCAACCCAGUGCAGGAAUCAUUAGCACAGUCCUCUGCUUCACAGAUGAGAGUACCCCUCCUUGCCAGGUGGUGGUAAAUGCUUUGAAGGAAAAUAAAGCAGGAAGAGAACAACUUGGGGUUCCAGGAUGGAGGUGAGCUUGCGAUUUCAAAUAGGGUGCUCAGGGAAAGCCUCUCUGGUGACAAGACAUUUGACGAAAGAACUGCAGACGUGGGAGAGCAAGUCACACAAGGGCUGAGGGAGAAAGCCUUCCAGGCAGAGGGAACUGAUUGUUCUAUUUUUUGUGUAUUCUUGACAGUUUGUUCUUGUUGUAAUAAUUUGCCAUGUUACUUUUAUUUUUACCAUAUACAUAUUGCACUCCUGGAUUAAACUGUGAGUUAUUUGGAGAUAGAGACUAUGUCUUCUUGUAGCAUCCUCAGCACUAGCAGAGAGCUUGAUGCAUGAAACAUGGUCAGUAAAUAUUUAUGAGAGAGUAAAUAAAUGACUGCGGUAUAAAAGGAUCCAUGGCUUAGAUGACUUGCUUGAGGUCACAUGGCUGGUCAGGGGCAAUGCUGAGACUGGAACACCAUAAUCCUUGCUCUCAUCAGAAAGCAAGGUGGUGCAUUUCAGGCUGGGUGUGGUGGCUUAUGCCAGCACUUUAGGAGGCCAAAGCAGGAGAAUUGCUUGAGCCCAGGAGUUCAAAACCAGCCUGAGCAACGUGGUGAGAUCCUAUCUCUGCAAGAAAUUUUUUUAAAAAUAGCCACGCAUAGUGGCAAGCACCUGUGGUUCCAGCUACUCAGGAGGCUGAGGUGGGAGGAUUGCUUGAGCUUGGGAGCUCAAGUCUUCACUGAGCUAUAACUGUGCCA
rnacentral:lncRNA from 1 species